rnacentral:rRNA from 1 species
AACGAACGCUGGCGGCAGGCUUAACACAUGCAAGUCGAGCGCCCCGCAAGGGGAGCGGCAGACGGGUGAGUAACACGUGGGAAUCUACCCAUCUCUACGGAACAACUCCGGGAAACUGGAGCUAAUACCGUAUACGCCCUUUGGGGGAAAGAUUUAUCGGAGGUGGAUGAGCCCGCGUUGGAUGAGCUAGUUGGUGGGGUAAAGGCCUACCAAGGCGACGAUCCAUAGCUGGUCUGAGAGGAUGAUCAGCCACACUGGGACUGAGACACGGCCCAGACUCCUACGGGAGGCAGCAGUGGGGAAUAUUGGACAAUGGGCGCAAGCCUGAUCCAGCCAUGCCGCGUGAGUGAUGAAGGCCCUAGGGUUGUAAAGCUCUUUCACCGGUGAAGAUAAUGACGGUAACCGGAGAAGAAGCCCCUGCUAACUUCGUGCCAGCAGCCGCCGUAA